AUUGAACGCUGGCGGCAGGCCUAACACAUGCAAGUCGAGCGAGCGGCGGACGGGUGAGUAAUGUAUGGGGAUCUGCCCGAUAGAGGGGGAUAACUACUGGAAACGGUGGCUAAUACCGCAUACUAUCGGAUGUACCCAUAUGGGAUUAGCUAGUGGGUGGGGUAAAGGCUCACCUAGGCGACGAUCCCUAGCUGGUCUUAGAGGAUGAUCAGCCACACUGGGACCGAGACACGGCCCAGACUCCUACGGGAGGCAGCAGUGGGGAAUUGUGCACAAUGGGCGCAAGCCUGAUGCAGCCAUGCCGCGUGUAUGAAGAAGGCCUUAGGGUUGUAAAGUACUUUCAGCGGGGAGGCGUUACCCGCAGAAGAAGCACCGGCUAACUCCGUGCCAGCAGCCGCGGUAAUAC
rnacentral:rRNA from 1 species